GCACAAUGGUAGAGGCAGAUCAUCCUGGCAAGCUUUUCAUUUGUGGCCUCAAUAGAGAGACCAAUGAGAAGAUGCUUAAAGCAGUGUUUGGGAAAUAUGGUCCCAUAUCAGAAGUUCUUUUGAUAAAGGAUCGAACCAGCAAAUCCAGAGGCUUUGCCUUUAUUACUUUUGAGAACCCUGCAGAUGCUAAGAAUGCUGCCAAAGAUAUGAAUGGAAAGUCUUUGGAUGGAAAAGCAAUAAAAGUAGAACAAGCCAAGAAACCAUCUUUUCAAAGUGGUGGUAGGUGAAGACCACCAGCUUCUUUGAGAAACAGAAGCCCUUCAGGAAGUCUGAGAUCUGCAAGAGGAAGCAGUGGAGGAACAGGAGGGUGGCUUCCCUCACAUGAAGGACACCUGGAUGAUGGUGGAUACACUCCUGAUCUCAAGAU